rnacentral:rRNA from 1 species
UCGAGCGAGAUUUUUUCCUGUAGCAAUACAGGGAAACGUCUAGCGGCGAACGGGUGCUUAACACGUGGGCAAUCUGCCGAGAAGUGGGGGAUAGCUCGCCGAAAGGCGAAUUAAUACCGCAUGUGAUCAGAGUGGACAUCCAUUCAAAAUCAAAGUCGGGGCAACCUGACGCUUCUUGAGGAGCCCGCGGCCUAUCAGCUAGUUGGUGAGGUAACGGCCCACCAAGGCUUUGACGGGUAGCUGGUCUGAGAGGACGACCAGCCACACUGGGACUGAGACACGGCCCAGACACCUACGGGUGGCAGCAGUCGAGAAUUUUUCUCAAUGGGGGAAACCCUGAAGGAGCGACGCCGCGUGGAGGAUGAAGGUCUUCGGGUUGUAAACUCCUGUCAUUUGGGAACAAUGCGUAAAUAUUAACUGUAUUUGCGUUGAUAGUACCAGAAGAGGAAGAGACGGCUAACUCUGUGCCAGCAGCCGCGGUAAUACAGAGGUCUCAAGCGUUGUUCGGAUUCAUUGGGCGUAAAGGGUGCGUAGGCGGCGCGGUAAGUCGGGUGUGAAAUCUCGGGGCUUAACUCCGAAACUGCAUUCGAUACUACCGUGCUUGAGGACUGGAGAGGAGACUGGAAUUUACGGUGUAGCGGUGAAAUGCGUAGAUAUCGUAAGGAAGACCAGUGGCGAAGGCGGGUCUCUGGACAGUUCCUGACGCUGAGGCACGAAGGCCAGGGGAGCAAACGGGAUUAGAUACCCCGGUAGUCCUGGCAGUAAACGGUGCACGUUUGGUGUGGGAGGAUUCGACCCC